rnacentral:piRNA from 1 species
UGCCACUGCCCACAACUGACUUCCCAAA